ensembl:lncRNA
GUUGUGAGGAAAGUGCUGCAUUAGCAGAAAAACAACUCCAUAAAAGGAAAUCGGCCUUGGGUGUUCUAGUCUCUUCGCUUGCAGAUAUCUUUCACCUGCAGGAUGAGGCGAUCGCUUCUUAUCGCUCUCAAGGCCAAAGUCAUGAGGAGAAAAGAGUCCAGGCACCACCCUGCCCAGGGGUCGGCUGCAAGCAGUCUCGGUUCCCGAUGAAAGCAGUACCAGCUGUCCUGCACACAAGGGUACAACGAGUUAGUGCAACCAGGGUAGUGACACAAAAU